AUGGAGAUGGUGGAGAAGCUUUCUCUCACCACAAGACCACAUCCACAUCCUUACUACAUCCAAUGGUUCAACAACAGCGGCAAGGUUAAGGUAACACGUACUGUUCGUGUGCAUUUUAGUAUCUCUACAUAUGCUGAUUAUGUUGAUUGUGAUGUGGUACCUAUGCAAGCAUGUUCCUUAUUACUUGGUAGACCAUGGCAAUUUGAUAAAAAUUCUGUACACCAUGGUAGAAACAAUCACUAUACUCUUGUUCAUAAGGAUAAAAAUAUUACUUUGCUUCCUAUGACUCCUGAUUCCAUUUUGAAAGAUGAUAUUAAUAGAGCUAAUAAAGCACAACAGGAGAAGAAUAAGAGUGAAAAUCAGAUUGUGGCAAAAGAAUUUGAGCAACAAAUGAAGCCUAAUAAUAAGCCAUCUAAUGUUGCUUCUGAAAUUAAAUUGAAAAGUGCAUGUUUAUUUGCCACCAAAUCUGAUAUUGAUGAGCUAGAUUUCAGCAAAUCUGUUUGCUAUGCUUUUGUGUGCAAAGAGGCAUUAUUUUCAUUCGAGGACGUGCCUUCCUCUUUGCCUCCUGCUGUCACUAACAUUUUGCAGGAGUUCGCUGACGUUUUUCCACAAGACGUGCCACCGGGAUUACCGCCUAUUCGAGGGAUUGAGCAUCAGAUUGACUUAAUUCCCGGUGCUUCACUGCCAAACCGUGCACCAUACCGUACCAAUCCAGAGGAGACGAAGGAGAUUAUGCGUCAAGUACAAGAGCUUCUCGACAAAGGUUAUAUACGCGAAUCCCUUAGUCCUUGUGCUGUUCCUAUUAUUCUAGUGCCGAAAAAGGAUGGUACAUCACGUAUGUGUGUUGAUUGUAGAGGCAUUAAUAAUAUUACUAUUCGUUAUCGUCAUCCUAUUCCUAGGCUCGAUGAUAUGCUUGAUGAAUUGAGUGGCUCUACAACAUUCUCCAAAGUUGAUUUGCGUAGUGGAUACCAUCAAAUUCGUAUGAAGUUGGGGGAUGAAUGGAAAACAGCAUUUAAAACUAAGUUUGGAUUAUAUGAGUGGUUAGUCAUGCCUUUUGGGUUAACUAAUGCGCCUAGUACUUCAUGA
rnacentral:rRNA from 1 species